rnacentral:lncRNA from 1 species
UGAUAUGGUUUUGUGUUUGCUGUUCUUUACAAAUGUCCAGAUUCAUUGGAUCAUAUCACAGGUUUCACCCAAAUGAUGUGUACUAUGUUUUGCGUUGCCCCAUUUCGAUUUUUCAUGUAUGUGAGAUAUUUUUUAUCUCAAAUGAAUUUGAGCAUCUUGAAUUCUUGACCUGAGGAAGGUUAAAAGAUACUUAUGUCUUACCCCAUUUAAGUUUCAACAACUUAAGCU